ensembl:lncRNA
AACACCGUGGAAAACACUUAAUGCUUUUCAAUGUUCUCAACAUCUUUCAUAUGGAUUUUCUUAUUUUAUCCUCACAGUGCUUCUGUAACCAUAAGUGCAAAAUAGUUCAUUAGGCAACCCCCAAACUCUACAUCAAGCAGUUCUGCCAUGUGUUUUCAUCGCAGGUGACUAAUUAAGCCAUAGGGACAGUUAGUUUUGCAGAGACUCAGGGUUACACUGAUGAUUCCUGGUCCUUCCUCUCACCAUCAUGUUCUUAAGGAGGAGAUCAUCAUAGCAGAAACAAAGCCACCUGCCUAGAGGCUGUAAUUUUCCCGUUGCCCCUCCAGCAAGCUGGGUCACACGACUACGCUAUGUCCGAUGAAACGUGAGCAAAGGUGAUGGGUGUUCUUCACGUCAAGUUCUGAAGAUUCUCAUAUUAUUUAUUGUCUCUGCCUUCCCAUGGGCAGGAAUGGGGAUCGUGAGAAGAGUCUUGUUAUAAGACAAUUCCUGGGAAUGAUAUUGCAGUGAAAUUACUUGGCCCAAAUUACUACCAACUAUCCCUGCAUCUACCUCAAGGAAAGGAUGCCCUUUGAUGCUGUAACAGGCCUCUGAUGAUCACAAAUGGGAAUGUGCAACAGUAAACCUUCCAGUACCCUUUCUUCUAAGAAGUGCUGUACUGCUGUUUGUUCUUUAUCUUUUAUUUGAAUGUGAAUAAGAAAUAAAAUUUGGGGCUGGAGAGAUGACUUCAGUUUGAGAAAGCUUGCUGCUCCUUCAUAGCACCUGGAUUCAAUUCUCAGCACACACAUGACAUCUC